rnacentral:rRNA from 1 species
UGGCGGACGGGUGAGUAACGCGUGGGUAACCUGCCUCACACUGGGGGAUAACAGUUAGAAAUAGCUGCUAAUACCGCAUAAGCGCACGGUUCCACAUGGAACAGUGUGAAAAACUCCGGUGGUGUGAGAUGGACCCGCGUCUGAUUAGCCAGUUGGCGGGGUAACGGCCCACCAAAGCGACGAUCAGUAGCCGGCCUGAGAGGGUGAACGGCCACAUUGGGACUGAGACACGGCCCAA